rnacentral:sRNA from 1 species
CUUGGUCAUUUAGAGGAAGUAAAAGUCGUAACAAGGUUUCCGUAGGUGAACCUGCGGAAGGAUCAUUCAUAAUAAGUGUUUUAUGGCACUUUUUAAAUCCAUACCCACCUUGUGUGCAAUGUCAGUCGAUCUUCUUCAUGGAGAUCGACCAAACAUCAACCUUUAUUUUUUAACUCUUUGUCUGAAAAAUAUUAUGAAUAAACAAUUCAAAAUACAACUUUCAACAACGGAUCUCUUGGCUCUCGCAUCGUUGAAGAACGCAGCGAAAUGCGAUACGUAAUGUGAAUUGCAGAAUUCAGUGAAUCAUCGAAUCUUUGAACGCAUAUUGCGCUCUUUGGUGUUCCGAAGAGCAUGCUUGUUUGAGUAUCAGUAAACACCUCAAAGCUUUUGGAUUUUUUAAUCGAAAAGCUUUGGACUUGAGCAAUCCCAACACCAAUCUUUUUGAGAUCGGUGGCGGGUUGCUUGAAAUGCAGGUGCAGCUGGACAUUCUCCUGAGCUAAAAGCAUAUUCAUUUAGUCCCGUCAAACGGAUUAUUACUUUUGCUGCAGCUAACAUAAAGGGAGUUUGACCGUAUUGGCUGACUGAUGCAGGAUUUCACAAGGGUCGGCAACGAUUCUUGUUAAACUCGAUCUCAAAUCAAGUAAGACUACCCGCUGAACUUAAGCAUAUCAAUAAGCGGAGGAAAAGAAACUAACAAGGAUUCCCCUAGUAACGGCGAGUGAAGCGGGAUGAGCUCAAAUUUAAAAUCUGGCUGGUUUACUAGUCCGAAUUGUAGUUUAUAGAAGCGUUUUCGGUGGCAGCCUGGGUAUAAAUCCUUUGGAAUAGGGUAUCAUAGAGGGUGAGAAUCCCGUCUUUGACUCAGUGCAUGCUACUAUGUGAUACGUUUUCAAAGAGUCGAGUUGUUUGGGAAU